CAGGAAUGGAACAUGAAAUAUGACUCGAAAUUGGUUGAUGUUUAUAGUAUGUUAAUAUGUAUUAAAUUUAUAUUCAUUAAUAUUCAGGUGAUGUCAGCGAAGGGGUUCCUGUUAAAACCUUUUAAAAAAUGUCCAUAUAUAUUUUUGGUGACACCAUAUACAAUUUUACAAUUUAAUAUGUUCAUAUAAUCUUUCAUGUUAAUAAAGGUAAACUGGACUGUCUUGGAAGACUGAGACUAGACUUGGUUCAGCACUACCCAGACCUAAUUAAUUACAGAAGUAAAGGUGGAGUUGGAGGAUGAAUGCCAGAGGAAUUGUCUAAGGAGUAAGAAACAGAACAAGCCAACCCGUCCCCUGUGUGGUGUCAUCCUCCUCUUCUCCUCCUCCUUUGCAAUUCUGUUCCUUCGCCCUGUAUUUCCCUCCCUCCAAUGGAUCAGGCCGCCCUGGUAUGCCACCAGAACCAAAAAGCGAAAAGGCCCGAGUUUGGAGAAGCUAACGGCUGUGUGUUUGAUCGCAAGGAGGAACUCGGAAUUGACCCAGAGUCGUCAGGUACUGAAAGUCGUCUUAUAAUAAUGACCGCGAUGUACAGUCCGUCAUUUCUAGGCUACAUAGAUUCAUGAUAUUAGCAGCACAGUCAGUGUCUGUGUGUGUACUAGCUUUAAUCACCUGUGCCUCAUUGUGCGCAGCAUACACACCUUAGCUCAUUAAAAUGAUGGAUCGAGCCAGAGGGGAAGCUCUCGGUUGCUCCAGAUUUGUUCUCGUUUAAAAGGUGUUUAAUAGGGGAACACCCGUGGGGAACUGCUCUCCUUUUCUGACAGCAACCAAGACGCCUGGCAGAUGCACGCGAGAAGGCAUGCGUUUGACAUUUUACUUUCUGUAUGUCCCAAUAUUUGUAUGUGGAUAUUCAAAUGGAGCGUGCAUUUAGUUGUCAUAGUGCAGUGGCUCUCUAUAAAGGUUGUGCUGCAAACUAUACCUUCACAAAAUCGACUUAUUGGUUGCCUACAUGACUAAUAGGCCUGAUAUAAUGAGGCUGGUUUGGGGUUCUGAUCCGACUCGUUUAUUAAGAGACCUUUAUUCAUAUGUUUAAAAAAAUGGAUGGGAUGCAACAAAAUAGGGAACACAGGGCCUCUGUUCAGUGAAAACAAUGCUCAAUGCAAAUACUAAAAUUCGUCUUACCUUGUGUGGUUUUGUAUAGUUGGAAUAUUAAAAUAAAUUGGCAAACAAUUUAGUUUAGUUAGAUAAAAUGCUUCCCAUGUCAACUGUGUAUGGUAUUUUUUUUUCACAUAUUAACUUAUUUGGCUACAACAAAUUAUAUAGUGUUUUAUGGUAAGUAUAAUAUUUUGUAAUAUUUUAUGGCUAAUAUUAAGUGUUUGUUCUUGGGUAGUAAAUCACACAUGCUGUUUAUGCAUUGUUAAUUUUCUUAGUCAAUAUUUGACUAUUAGUUGUUAAUAUUUUUGUACGUUGUCAGCCCUAUGAAAUUUAUUCACUGAUGACGGCAAGUAGGCUGUGUUGCAAAAAAAAAAAAAAAAAAACUAUUUCACUCUGCUACACAGAUUUCUAUUGUCUGAUAUUUGGAUAACCCCCCCCCACCCCCCACUCCCCCCCCCCCCCCCUAAAUUUAUACAAGUGGCCUAAUAUUUAAGUACUUAAAUCCUGAUAAAACUACUUUAAAUUGUUUUCAGUUUUCUGGGAUCUAAGAAUGAGUGAGUGCAUAGUGUAUUUUGGUAAUUACUUAGCCUAUAGUCAUAUACUUCUAUUUACCAUCAGUACUUCAAACAAAACUAAUUAGAUGACUAUUUGUAGUUUUUAGGCACUGUAUAAAAAGGCAAGAAUAAUGGAUUGCACUUUUCAGUAUAUGCAUGCAGUGAUCAAUACAUAGUAGAAUACACAGUGUUCUAAUGGGAUUAUAUUUAUUAGUUAUGUCUUUAAAGAGAACUAACCACUACUGACUUUCUUGAGGUAUAGUUAUCCAUGUGGUAAGGUUAAGGUUGUGGUUGGUAGGGA
ensembl:lncRNA